rnacentral:rRNA from 1 species
GAAACGACUGCUAAGACUGGAUAGGAAACAAAAAGGCAUCUUUUUGUUUUUAAAAGACCUUCUUACGAAGGUAUGCUUAAAGAGGGGCUUGCGCCACAUUAGUUAGUUGGUAGAGUAAAAGCCUACCAAGACGAUGAUGUGUAGCUGGACUGAGAGGUUGAACAGCCACAUUGGGACUGAGACACGGCCCAAACUCCUACGGGAGGCAGCAGUAGGGAAUUUUCGGCAAUGGAGGAAACUCUGACCGAGCAACGCCGCGUGAACGAUGAAGUAUUUCGGUAUGUAAAGUUCUUUUAUUGAAGAAGAAAAAGUAGUGGAAAAACUAUAUUGACGUUAUUCAAUGAAUAAGCCCCGGCUAACUAUGUGCCAGCAGCCGCGGUAAGACAUAGGGGGCGAGCGUUAUCCGGAAUUAUUGGGCGUAAAGGGUGCGUAGGCUGUUAGAUAAGUCUAUAAUUUAAUUUCAGUGCUUAACGCUGUCUUGUUAUAGAAACUGUCUUGACUAGAGUGAGAUAGAGGCAAGCGGAAUUCCAUGUGUAGCGGUAAAAUGUGUAAAUAUAUGGAGGAACACCAGAAGCGUAGGCGGCUUGCUGGGUCUUUACUGACGCUGAGGCACGAAAGCGUGGGUAGCAAACAGGAUUAGAUACCCUGGUAGUCCACGCCGUAAACGAUGAGUACUAAGUGUCGGGGUAAAACUCGGUACUGAAGUUAACACAUUAAGUACUCCGCCUGAGUAGUACGUACGCAAGUAUGAAACUUAAAGGAAUUGACGGGACUCCGCACAAGCGGUGGAUCAUGUUGUUUAAUUCGAAGAUACACGAAAAAUCUUACCAGGUCUUGACAUACUCUGCAAAGCUAUAGAAAUAUAGUGGAGGUUAUCAGGGAUACAGGUGGUGCAUGGUUGUCGUCAGUUCGUGUCGUGAGAUGUUAGGUUAAGUCCUAAAACGAGCGCAACCCUUGUCGUUAAUUGCCAGCACGUAAUGGUGGGGACUUUAACGAGACUGCCAAUUAAACAUUGGAGGAAGGUGAGGAUUACGUCAAAUCAUCAUGCCCCUUAUGAUCUGGGCUACAAACGUGAUACAAUGGCUGUGACAAAGAGUAGCUGAAACGCGAGUUUUUAGCCAAUCUCAAAAAAGCAGUCUCAGUUCGGAUUGAAGUCUGUAACUCGACUUCAUGAAGUUGGAAUCGCUAGUAAUCGCGAAUCAGCAUGUCGCGGUGAAUACGUUCUCGGGGUUUGUACACACCGCCCGUCAA